UAGUAACGGCGAGUGAAGAGGGAAAAGCUCAAAUUUUGAAUCUGGUGUCUUUGACUCCCGAGUUGUAAUCUAGAGAAGUGUUUUCCGCGUUGGACCGUGUACAAGUUCCCUGGAACGGGGCGUCAUAGAGGGUGAGAAUCCCGUAUAUGCCACGGACUACCAAUGCUCUGUGGUACACUCUCAACGAGUCGAGUUGUUUGGGAAUGCAGCUCAAAAUGGGUGGUAAAUUCCAUCUAAAGCUAAAUAUUGGCGAGAGACCGAUAGCGAACAAGUACCGUGAGGGAAAGAUGAAAAGCACUUUGGAAGGAGAGUGAAACAGUACGUGAAAUUGUUGAAAGGGAAGCGUUUGAAGUCAGUCACGUCUGUCGGAAUUCAGCCUGGCUUCUGCCUGGUGUACUUUCCGUCUGACGGGUCAGCAUCAAUUUCGACUGAGGGAAAAAGACGUGAGGAAUGUGGCUGUCUUCGGGCAGUGUUAUAGACUCGCGUUGUAUGUCUCGGUUGGGAUUGAGGAACGCAGCGCGCCUAUUGGCCGGGGGUUCGCGCCCCUCGGUACGCGCUUAGGA
rnacentral:rRNA from 1 species